CCCAGUGCAUCUUGGUAUUUAUAUGAGUAUUAAUGGUUUAAUUAAAGUUAGAUUGCAUUCAUUGGUCUUUAUUUCAGGAAAUGCUGUCCUUCUGGGAUGUGGCCAUUGAUUUCUCUCCAGAAGAGAAAGAAUGCCUGGAGCCUGCUCAGUGGAAUUUGUACAGGGAUGUGAUGUUGGAGAAUUACAGCAACCUUGUGUUCCUGGGUCUUGCUGGCUCUAAGCCACAUCUGGUGACAUUUCUGGAGCAAAGUCAAGGGCCAGCGGGUGUGAAGAGACAAAGAUCACCCCCUGUGCAUUCAGGUCUGUUGAAAUGAGAGGUCAGAAGCAGAGUUGAGUUGCAGGCUUUCCCAUUUGCCUGGAAACAUAAUAUGGGAAUGAUUCUUGA